rnacentral:lncRNA from 1 species
GUGUGACUCUGACUUUCCUCUCCUAGGUCAAGGCCAUCAGUGUCUAUCAAGGGUUCAAUUAUGGAAGUGUUCUUCAGAUCUCAGAUAUGUAUCAUUGAAUAGAAAUGUCAUGGCUGCAAAUCGAGCCCAAAUUGUUCUGAAAUUUUCACAUUGGCACACAAUAUUUAAGUCUCAAGUCACUAUAGUGAAGCAAGACUUACACGUGAGUCCUUUGGAUGUCCUACACCCGUAGUUUAUGCUCUAAUAGACUCUAGAAUCUAGAGAAAGCACCAAGACCUUCGGUAUCAAUAGCACUGAAGUAAUCUAGAGCAGUUUUCAUCCUAGUCACAGCCCAUGGGGAGACCAUGGCACCCAUGAGAACAACACAGGGGACAAACACUUCAAGCAGACCAGACCGUGGAUUCUGUUGCAUGAAGACAGAAGGAAAUGGAGCACCAGGCAGAAGACCAGGGGUGUCUCAGCUCCAAGCAGUGCUCUUAGCCCACUGGGAGAUGCUAGGUGUAUUCUUUCUAAUCAUCUCUCUUGUGCAUUUUCUGCAGUUUGGUACCUUUCUCUACUUCCUGCCUACAGUACAUCCAUAGUGCAGCAAGUAACUGAUGAACUCCAUGACCAGCAAGAAGAAAUAAGAACAUGGAAAUCUGUUUGAACAAAUCCAACGGGUGUGAGCAGGGUGGGACAUACCUGGGACCCUGAGAUUGAUCGCCCUCUAGCCCUUCAGGAGAGACAAAGCGAGACAAUAGACACACCCAGCAAGUCCAUUGUCCUAGUGUCUGUCUUUAAUUAUCUCCCUCCACUUCCUCAAAUCACAUUCAUAAAUAUUUAAUAAUGACCCAGCCUCUCCCCCAACCCCAGCGUUCACAUACUCUUGGGCCCCUUUAUGAAAUGAUCCUGUUAGCUGAACUUAUCUCCAGCCUCCCACAAACUCAUAAGCUCUUUCCUGUUCCAAGCCCAUCGGCAGAUUUCUACUGGGUCAUGCAUCUUAAAGGAGCCCCUUCAAUAACAGCCAUGGCAGCUCCCAUCUAUCAAACACUGACAUUUGUCCCUGUCACACUUCCCACACAAUACUCAAGGCAGUAGGUUCCUGACACAUUUGUGAAUCAUUGUCCCGACCGCAUUAGCCACUCACAAACAUGCUUAUGGCGUUGCCCUCUACCUUGGCUUGCCAUCAAUUGAAUUCCCCCUUCAUUGUCCCUAUUUUGCAAAGCUUUAACUGGCAUCACCCCCAAUAACUAAUUCCAUUAAGUCACACAGGUUAGUUAUGACGGACACUUCAUUCACUACCUCUACUUGCCUUUCUCCUCUCCCAACUCCCUAGGCCACCCAGGCUAUUUCCCUGGCCCAUCAGUCGGAGGCUCAAAACUCUUUCUCUCCCCCCCCCUCCAGCCCCUGAAUGUGGGGCUCCUUCCGCUCGUGAGUGCCUGCUUAGGGUGACCCUACUUGAUCCCUGUUACAUUCCUCUGGGCUUGUCAAAGGUUUGCAUUGUGUCCCUGAGUAGCUGGAGCAUGCCAUGAGGAGUGAGCACGGCCCAGUCCUAAUCAGGACAACCUCAGCCCCGUGAAAGAUGAAUAAUAGCGACGGCUUCAGCCCAUCGUCCCAGAAGAGCCCACUGAGGACGUUUGUUUUGGGAUAAUGAAUAUGGAAAUUGGGAUUCCAUAAUAAACUGCAAGCAGUCUUUCAACUCACUCGUGCCGAAAAUUCACACUCGCCUUUCCUAUAACUUGUCACUUGUGUUUUUAUUGUUCGAUAUGUAAACAAGGCCGGGAAAGCCUUUGUUCCUUGAUGCCUACUUAGAUUUGCCCAUUAAUCCCAACCCCCCUCCCUUACCCACCAAGGCAUGCAGGAUUACACAAAGCAAAAGUCAUUAAUUUUUAUCUCUGACUAUCUGUGGGGUUUUUAAUGUGGCCUGGCUUGCUUAUGCACCACCAAUUACAUGUCAUAAGUGCUUGUAGAUGCUGGAGCGGUAUCAUGGGCUGAUGAAUCACUGCCUCCUCCGCUGAUUAGUAUGCAAGGGGCCCUGUUCCUCUUUGAGCAGCUGGCAUGCCAAUGAGGAUCUGGCUCGGCCGGUCAAGGCAUCUGGACAUGAAUUCAAUAUGGAUUGCUUUAAUUAAAUGGCUAAGCGCACAAGAUGCUAAGAAACAACUCCAUCAUUGAGGGGAAACUUGAAAAUAUAGUCGACACAAGCAAAGCUGGG